GUUACAAAUAGGCGAGUAAAUUGUUUCAAAUUUUUUUUUCAUAAUUAGAUUUUUUAUCUGUUUUAGAAAAUUAUAUAAAAAAACUGUGCUCGAUUCCUUAAAUCUGCAGAAUUCACAAGUAAUAUCGUUUCCCCAGGAAAAUUAUGUAAACACCAAAAAUCCCACCAAACAAACCCACUUUAACAAUGAGACUCUCUGGUCAAUGAGUGAAAGCAGUGCAGUGAAACACGUCCACCCCGUCAGAACUCUGGUGAAAGACUGUACACAAAAUUCAUCCGAAUUUUCUCCUCACUUCACUUUUGCUUAAAAUCGAUUCAACUUCGCAGCAGAUUUCUGCCCGCUUUUCACUCCGUAUUUAACACAGAAUGAGAGAGAGAAAGUCUCUCGUUUCAGAAAUAUAUCAAGAGCCAUGCACGAUACGUGCACUUUUUUGGGUUUUCUCACAGCCAGCAAUUGAGCUCGUGUAUGUAUUCUUCUCAACUGAAUGGAGGGAGAAAGUUUGUCAAGAAAAGGAAAAGAAGCACCACUAAAAAUAAAGACAAUGGAGGACAAAGAGAUUGAAUUUCUGAAAUGAUGUCAAAUCCAAUCCACUUCCUUUUGUCUCAAGUGUUCUACUUAUUUAAGAGGAGAGGAAAAGAAAAAUGGAAUUGAAAAUUGAUUCGCUUUUCGCUCGGUAGCCAAUUCAUGUAGAAGUGGUUUUGUGUUACUCCCGUGUUUUCAUGCAUUAUGGAUUUUUUUCUAUUGUUUUUGUAAUAACGGAUCCAAUCUCGUUAGUCGUAAAUAGAUGGUAAAUUACGGA